rnacentral:rRNA from 1 species
AGUGGCGAAAGGGCGAGGAAUACUUGGGUAACGUACCCCGGGCACAGGGAUAGCUGUGGGAAACCGCAGGUAAUACCUGAUAAGACCACAGUUCCUACGGGAACAGCGGUCAAACGGUGGGGACCUUCGGGCCUACCGGCCUGGGAGCGGCCCAAGUCCUAUCAGCUUGUUGGUGAGGUAACGGCUCACCAAGGCAACGACGGGUACCGGGACUGAGAGGUUGGUCCGGCGCAUUGGGACUGAGACACUGCCCAGACUCCUACGGGAGGCUGCAGUAACGAAUAUUGGACAAUGGGCGCAAGCCUGAUCCAGCGACGCCGCGUGCAGGAUGAAGUCCUUCGGGAUGUAAACUGCUGUCAGGGAUCACCAAGCAAUACCGGCUAAUAUCCGGUUGCGUUGAGGACUCCCAGAGGAAGCCACGGCUAACUUCGUGCCAGCAGCCGCGGUAAGACGAAGGUGGCGAGCGUUGUUCGGAAUCACUGGGCUUAAAGAGCACGUAGGCGGUCUGUCAAGCGUCUUGUGAAAGCCCUCGGCUCAACCGGGGAAUUGCUUGGCGAACUGGCAGACUUGAGGCAGGUAGGGGCAGUUGGAACUCUUGGUGGAGCGGUGGAAUGCGUAGAUAUCAAAGAGGAACGCCAGAGGCGAAGGCGAACUGCUUGGGCCUGUCCUGACGCUGAGGUGCGAAAGCCAGGGUUAGCGAACGGGAUUAGAUACCCCGGUAGUCCUGGCCCUAAACGAUGUCCACUAGAUCGAGGAUUCUCUGAAGGAUUCUUGGUCGAAAUGAAAACGUUAAGUGGACCGCCUGGGGAGUUACGGUCGCAAGGCUAAAACUCAAAGGAAUUGACGGGGGCUCACACAAGCGGUGGAGCAUGUUGCUUAAUUCGAUGCAACGCGAAGAACCUUAUCCUGGGCUUGACAUGCUUGGAUGCCCAUCUGGAAACAGAGUAGGCUGCCCUUCGGGGUGAAACUUGCACAGGUGCUGCAUGGCUGUCGUCAGCUCGUGUCGUGAGAUGUCGGGUUAAGUCCCAUAACGAGCGAAACCCUUGUCACUAGUUGCCAGCGCGUAAUGGCGGGGACUCUAGUGAGACUGCCGGUGUUAACACGGAGGAAGGUGGGGAUGACGUCAAGUCCUCAUGGCCUUUAUGCCCAGGGCUGCAAACGUGCUACAAUGGCCGGUACAAACCGAAGCGAAACGGCGACGUGGAGCAAAUCGGAAAAAGCCGGCCUCAGUUCGGAUUGGAGUCUGCAACUCGACUCCAUGAAGUCGGAAUCGCUAGUAAUCGCGUAUCAGAACGACGCGGUGAAUGAGUUCCUGAGCAUUGUACACACCGCCCGUCAAGUCAUGGAAGCCG